UGGGUGACCUGCCCUCAGCUCUGGGAUAAGCCCGGGAAACUGGGUCUAAUACCGGAUACGACCUCCGCGGGCAUCUGCGGAGGUGGAAAGGUUUUCCGGCUGAGGAUGGGCCCGCGGCCUAUCAGCUAGUUGGUGGGGUGAUGGCCCACCAAGGCGACGACGGGUAGCCGGCCUGAGAGGCGACCGGCCACACGUGGGACUGAGACGACCGGCCCAGACUCCGUACGGGAGCA
rnacentral:rRNA from 1 species